GAUUCAUGCCUUCAUUGAAAGUGUCAAAUAUGGCUUUGUCGUGUUAUCGUGUAUGUUCGUGAAUCGUGAUAACGGUGAAUCGUGAUAACGGUAUAACUAACUGAUAACUAAAUUUACAUGAGUUAACAUAGUUAUGCUUUCCAACUGAAGCACUUGACUUGAUCAAGCAGUUAACUGUCUAGUUUGCCUUGGAGGAUGUGACGUCUUUUGCUUCUGCCAGUCAUAUUACUUCUAAUCAUUUCAAGCAACAUGUUAUACCCAUCAUACCUCCACAUGAAAGGACUGCUCUUACAUCCCACGAAAGACUCCCCAGUUGGAGUGAACAAAACUCGAUUUAGGAAAUGAUAUCCAAUCAAUGAGGACAUCUCAAAGGAACAGAGAUUCAGGACUGGAUUAUAUCAUGCUCGCGAUCAGUAUGCUGUCGACCUUGAAGUUACUUAUAACAGCUUGGGAGUCGGUGGAACAAAAAUAAGAACGAGUACGAUCUACGAGAAUUCUCUAGACGGUCUUCCCUACAUAUCUUCAUGACCCUGGCUACCAAUUGCAAUGCGGAAAUAUCGCCGACUGCGUCAUGAGGUGAUGGCAAUAACUCAAACAGAUGAAACUUGAAAUAAAACAUUUAGUUUCGU